UCACGUGCAGCACAAGAGUUUAGUUUAGUUUAGAGAUACAGCACGGAAACAGGCCCUUCGCCCCUCCGGGUCAGUGCCGACCAUCGAUACCCGUACACUAACACUAUCCUACACACUAGGGACAAUUUACAAUUUUUACCAAAGACAAUCAACCUACAAACAUGUG